rnacentral:rRNA from 1 species
GAUGAACGCUGGCGGCGUGCCUAAUACAUGCAAGUCGAGCGAACAGAUGAGGAGCUUGCUCCUCUCACGUUAGCGGCGGACGUGUGAGUAACACGUGGAUAACCUACCUAUAAGACUGGGAUAACUUCGGGAAACCGGAUCUAAUACCGUAUAAUAUAUUGAACCGCAUUGUUCAAUGGUGAAAUACGGUUUUGCGGUCACUUAUAGAUGGAUACCGGCCGCAUUAGAUGGUUGGUAAGUUAACGGGUUACGAAGGCAACGAUGCGUAAACGACCGGACAGGGUGAUAGCCGACACUGGAACGGGGACGCGGACCAGGCUCCUGCGGGAGGCAGCAGUAGGCAAUCGUCCGCAAUGGGCGGAAGCUUGACGGAGCAACGCCGCGUGAGUGAUGGAGGUCUUCGGAUCGUAAAACUCUGUUAUUGGGGAAGAACAAAUGUGUAAGUAACUAUGCACGGCUUGACGGUACCUAAUCAGAAAGCCACGGCUAACUACGUG